ensembl:snoRNA U8 U8 small nucleolar RNA
UUUUUAAAAAGUACGCAUUCUUCCUUUUGGAGGGCAGAAAGGCCAUGAUAAUUGGAGAUGGCAUGAUUUGUUAUUAAGAUCUCUCUGUGAUCAGUACUUGCAACACCCUAAUUGCUCCUAUCUGAA